rnacentral:tRNA from 1 species
GUCGCUUUGGUCGAGUGGUUAAGGCGUGUGCCUGCUAAGUACAUGGGGUAUUAGGCGAUG